CAGUCUAUUCAUCAGACUCUUCAACUCCUCUGGCAUCAAUGCUACCGCAUGUAGUGGCAGCUUAAAACAACCAGUAACUAAUUAGUUCUUAUAAAUCACUCCUAACACCUCUGUCUUCAUCAGGAACCAUGAUUGAUCUGAGAUUAAUGAAACUCAAAACAAAGCCAAAAUGCAAAUUUCUUUGUUUUUUAAUUUUAUUUCUUUGCUUAUCACUUGUUCACCAUCUGUUUGCAUAACGAUAGAUCAAUGAAUCAAUACCUCUCCGUGGAUAAAGAACAGCUGCUUUAUUUAAAGCUUUCACUAAGUAAGGUUUCAAGAGUGGUCAGAAAAUGGUGGUGAAUUGUCCACAUGGCAGCCAUUGUUAUACGUAGACUGCCAGGUGCAGACACAUUUAAGGAAGUGAAAAGAAUAAAGAGAUCUGAAUUGUACGAUAGGAAGGAUAUGCAAGCUCAGGGAUGGGCACUAUUUCUGGUACAUGUAUUUGAAAUACUUAAAUGCUGCUGGUGUUUCUGAGGGACUUUAGCGAGGGCACUCACAUUAAAGACAUAUGAAAGCUAGCAUCCAUCUGUCAUGUUAUGCUAUUAAAUAUGUGUAAUUGUCAGUAAAGAAAUAGAGACAUUCAACCAUAACUGUUGUAUAUUUAAUAAAUGUUUAGACUUCAAAUAAAUAGUAUCAUUUGCUAGCUAGUGGUGCUGAUUGUGGGUUUGUAUGCUAGCUUGGGAGAUAGAUAUUAAUUUGUAUGCAAGCUAGACAGCUGAAUGUGAGUUUGUAUGCUAGCUAGUAAACAAGAUAAGUGUUUCUAUGCAAGCUAGCGAGCUGAAUGUGAGUUUGUAUGCUAGCUAGAAAGCUGAAUGUGAGUUUGUAGGCUAGCUAGUAAACAGGAUAUGGGGUUGUAUGCUAGCUAGAGGGCUGAUUGUGAGUUUGUAUGCUAGCUAGAGAGCUGAAUGUGAGUUUGUAUGCUAGCUAGAGAGCUGGAUGUGAGUUUGUAUGCUAGCUAGUAAACAGGAUAUGAGUUUGUUUGCUAGCUAGUAAACAGGAUAUGAGUUUGUAUGCUAGCUACAGAGUUGGAUGUGAGCUUGUAUGCUAGCUAGCAAGCAGGAAAAGACUAUGAUCUUGUAGUUGUGUGAAACUCUUUUCAGCACUCAGGUGAAAAUAACGGCAAUUCAAUUUUCUGUGGUACUCUAAUUUAUUCGAAACCAAAGACAGAGAAUGCUGCAUUUGGCUGUAUAAAAGCCUCUUCCUGAUUUUGUUCAGAUUAUUUGUGUAGAUUCUGAGGGACAGCAGCACAAGUGUUAGCUAUCAAGGCACCACAACAAUAACACUACCCUUAUCACCUGAAGUGGUACUACUUAUCUCAUGUCCCCCCCUUACAAAAUGUAUUCUUAAAUAUAAAAUACUAUAUUUUGUUAACUGUGUCAUUAUCAAAAAUACAUUUUAAUGCAUUUUUCCCAUGCCUGUGUUGAAUAAGACACCAUUGUAUUGAAAAACAGUUGACAGGUACCGUAUAUUUGGCUCCAUAUCUAUCUUGCAUAAUUGAAAGAGAUAUUGAGGCUCAGUGUUUGCUAACGUCACGAUAUUUCAGGACACAAACCCUCACUUAUCUAAACGAGUACUGAUAGAGCUGAG
ensembl:lncRNA